GCUUUCUCACAACAUGAUGUGUGUGUGUGGCGAGACGGUGAGAGACAGUCACUUUGCUUUCUCCGCCGCACGCCUCCGGCCGCCUUCUUUGGAGCAGGGCGCACGCCGCCGGCCGCCUUCUCUGGAGCAGGGCGCAUCCUCUCCGGGCACGACGUCUUCUGGCGCCCCCUCCCCGCACCACCACCACCACCACCACGCCCUCGCCCCGUCUCCUAUCCCCAUGACGGCCUUGCCUCGCCAGCUCUUAUCCCCACCACGGCCUCGCCCCGCCGCCUCCUCUCACCACUGCGGACUUGCCUCGCCGCCAACCCCGUGGAUCUUCCCUACAUCGACUCUGCCGCCGCCAUCAUACAGCCGCAGAGCAGAUCGAGAUGCGAGCUGCUGGACACGAUGCAUGCAGGAGCAGGCAUCUUGAAUUGGACCGAGAUCUAGUGCGUCGACCUCACACAGUCGCUCCGGGAAGGAGUUCGCAGCCUACGCUCGGUUGCUGAAGGCACCUUCGCCACAUUGUCAUCCAUUUGUGAGAUGUUUCUGUUUCUCCAUGUUGGCAUGGAUGCAUUGGAUAUAGAGUAGUGGAAGAUUGUUAGCGGAACACAUACACAGGUAGUAACAUAUUUGUUGUUCAAAUGUAUAAUAUGCAGCCCAAUGAAAUGUAUCGCCUUGAGCACCAUUAUUUAGGCCAGAUCUCAUGAGAGGUGCUGUGUGAAUUGCAUUGGCAUACAAUAAGGUAAAGAAUUGCAUUGGCAUACCAAAUCUGUUGGUCAAAUGUGCUUCAGGAAUGCUAUGCAGUGAAAAAAGAAACAUAAUAGCAUACCUGCCCUGAAUGCUCUGAGUUAUAGUAGGAGGCGUACCCAUCCGUCUGAAGACUGCUCUUAAUAUAUUCUUCUCUUUUCCAUGUUGUAACAUCGAGAUCAGUCCACUUAUCGGAUUUUAAUUCCAUGUGCUUGGAUGCAUAUUUGAAUAAAUCCUCUAGUCCUUCUAGCUGUUGUACCAACAAAUGGAAAAAGUAUAAGCAUCACAAGUGAGAAAUAAGAAAAAAAAGGUUCUUAGAAAAGAUGGGGGAGUAGGACUAAGUACUAACCGUAUCAGCGAGGUCCUUGCGGCUCAUGUAAGGGCCUAGCGAGUCGAGCACUUGGACACAUUUUUUUCUGGCAUUUAUAACACAUAGGUACCAGUGAAAGUCGUCGUUGUUUAUUGGAAUGUAUAUCUGAAGAAAAUGAUUAUUUUAGUUGUACUCAUAUGUGGACGAAUCAGUCGUUCUUGCUGUAAUUCAUAGAAAUAUGUAGAAAAGUAAGACUAACCAUAUCAUUUUCCAAAUAUGCUUUGGCUCUGUUUAAUACCCAUGCUGGUGCAGCAUCCAUGUCAUCUGAGGGCAGAUAGCUACCGAUCUUCAUCAUCUUAGAGAUGCAUGCAUUCUCUAAGAACACACUUCCACCUGACCUUACUUGUAGAUGCUCCGUAAAAAUCAUGCAAUUUAUGUACGUAUUUAUGACCUACAAUUAAAAGUAUACAUAGUAUAUUAGAUGACACAUACUUCUAAUCAAAUAGCAUCUUCAUGUCCUAAUAUACUUACUUCGUCGCCAACCCAUUCUUUGGGAGAUAGAAGAGAUAGUAAAUGUCUUUUUUUUUUCAGAAAUGCGUCGCCGAUGCUCACUACAUUUCUUUCUUUACUUGGUUCAGAUCUGAUUUUUUCUAUAACGGACCAAUCAUCGCCAGUGCAGGCAUAAUCUGUCACGAUGGCCAUGAUAACAUUUAAUGAUAAUGAACACAAAAACAAUAAUAUAGCAGUACAAGGACAUUGAAGGUUUUGUUCUGUGCCUUGUGGAGAAACAACAUAGUCUUGUGCCUUCUUAGGCUUGUUAUGCCGUCGUAUAUGUUUCUUUAUAUGCACGGGCAUUGUUAGCUCGUCCUCUAUAGUUUGAAGCCCUUCCGUGGCGGGUGUUUGUGCCAAUUUCUCGUCCUCAGUUGCCACCAUUUGUUGACUUGUUUUGUUGUGGGUUAACUUCUGAAAACAAUAUUAAAAGAAUUACCCGUAUGUAGGAUAUAAUAUAAUUCGAAUAAUUUUGGAAGAAAUAGUUGGAAAAGGAAAGUCACAUUUGUAUGUUCAGAAUCUUUGGCCUCUCUGUUUGCUCUGUUUUCUUCAAGAAUAUGUGUAUAUUCUAGGCUCUCCGUGCAAUUAUUUUUCUCCACUUCAUUAUUGUUCGGUAUUUCACUUGAUUCGUCAUCUCUCGGUAGCUGAAACACAUGGUAGUAUAAUACUAUAACAGAUAGAAUAUCUUUUUGAUAUGAUAUUGUACUAAAAAAAUUUACAAAGUGCUCUGUGGCGUUAGAAUUAGAAUAGUAAUGACAUGUGGAAAGAAAACUUGCCUACGUGGACUCGGGAUAUGUAUCCUCCUGUACGGUCAUCACCUCAUCAAUAUGCAUAUUCUCUGUAUCCUCCAUAGUAGAGUCUUCUUGUAUCACCUGUGCCGACUCAUAGUUUGUAUCCUCGUCUUUCUUUAUCACCUUUUCAACCUGCAUAUUAUCUAUAUCCUCAUCCUUUGCUACCUUGUUGAUGUCAUCCUAAAAACCCAAGUAUGACACUUUUAGAUAGGAGGAAACCUUGCAUAGAAAGAACAGAGAUACAAUAUGUCUUUACCAUCUCGAUAGCAUGGACAGUAGUACCGGAUCUGGAUGGAGAUUGACUCGCAUGUGGCACCGGUGACGGAGGCGCAGACAUGGAUGAAGAUGGUGCUUCACCAAGGGCAGAUGUGUGCGGCUCAGUUGAGAGACUUGUUGUGGAGGUAUGUUGGGAUGCGGCUGAGAGAUCACGAGGGAGGAUGGAGGAGAGGUGAAAGUAAUGGUAUCAGGCAAUAUAAGGCAGAAUCGUGAGAGAAAGGAAACUACUAUCGCGAUAAUUGGGGACUCCUGAUUGCUAUCAUCCACGGAUUUAUCUGAGGCCCCAGAAUCUUAUCUUGUGCUUUUUUAUACUCACACAAAAUAUUGGAGUUAUUUUCGUGGUACAAUUUAUAUGCAUAAAUAGUGGGUUUGGCCCACCUUCCUUCUGUAACUGUGGGCUUAAUUCAGAAAAUGCACACCCUUUUAAUAUUUGAGAAACUAAUUUUUUCUGUUUCAUUUGAAAUUCAGCUGAUGUAUGGUGGUUGCCUUCUUGUACAUGAGCUUACGACUGCGGGAGAUCACGACUUGUUCUUUUGAUUUUUUUUGGUUCAUCACAUGAUCCAUCAAGCCAGCCAAGGCGGAGAUCAGUGAAGAGGUGAAGUAGAAAAUGGAAUCGGAAUAGGAGGCAUAUCUUCAACUGGUUUGAUGCAUGUUGGAAGAUGCUUGAAGUGGCGGUCGUAACACAGUCAGUUGGGACGACUCGUUGGCAGAGUUGUUAUUAUUAACAUUUUCAUUGUUAGAGACGACAGUAUCUGGUGUUGUUAGUGAACAUGGAACAUGAAGUGGAGUCUGAUCACUCAUUACCACAUCAACAGGUAUGCCUGCAUCAAAAUUGUAUUACCAAAGCCAGUUGCUAGCACACAAGAGCCGGUAGUAUGUUUGGAUGUAGGAGAACACAUGACCUUCCACAACUGGUGCGUGUCGUUGCUGGGUGAUAGCAGACUGCGCACUGGGCAUAUCCAUAGUGUCAAAACCUGUCCAAAGGGACUUUUAAUUAACAUGAGUUUAGCUGUGAUUAAUGAAAUGUAUGAUAAAGAACAGAGAAAAUUGAGUAACCAGGCGACAUGGCCACGGGUGGCUUAGAUGGAGUGUUGGUUUCAUUUAAAACCGCGGACAUAGCUUUCUUACUAUCCCUUGCCUCCUUUCUUUUUUUCAAUAUUGCAUCCCUGUUUAGUGCAUACCUCUCCCUUUCUCUCUGUCUCUUUAGUUCUUUUGGAUCUGUUUUUUGACCUGCGAGGCAAUGACAUAGUCGGUACUUACAUGAUAUUAGUAGCUAAGAGUAGGUGAUAUCUGUAUUUACCUGAACUGUCGUUGUUCGUCAGGUCCUGAAAGGGAUUACGUACCCCACUACGCUGAGAUCCGGACAUAUUGUCUUGUCAAUGAACACUUACUGAACCGUGCCUCAACUCAGUUUGCUAUGCAAAUCAUGAUGUACUGUACGGAAGUAGUCAGAUGUCUUGGAGAUCUGCUCGCCACCGGGGUGAUGACACCGGAUGUAAGGCAGCGCGCCGGGUCGAGGACGUCGCAGACACCGGGGAGAGGGCGGCGUGGCGACGACGGCGUAUUGAGGAGAGUUAGGGCUGCAAGGCGGGUCGAGGGCGUUGCGUCGUCGCGGAGACCAGGGGCAAGGGUCGCGUGGCGAGGGCGGCCGGGUGGGGUGGAGCGAGGACGGCGGGGCGGCGUGCCGACGCGAGGUUCGUGGCGUGGUGGUGGCGUUGAUCGCGGAGAUAAUGUUUAUUCGCUGGAUGGAGGUGUCAUCGUUAGGAUGUGUAGGAGCCUGGACGUGGGAGUCUGCCGGCAGAACAUUUGAUUAGAACCGUUGAUCUGGUUGUAGUAUGUUUGAUGAAAGGUGGACAGUUGGAUGAUAGUAAGUGGGUCUGAUCGGACGUCUAGGGUUAUCCUGUGUGCACUUUGUCGUAUGGACGUAGGGGAAGUCACGUUUGGUCUUUUAAUAGUAGUAUAGAAGGAUGUAGAACACUACACAAAACACGAGCCCAUUAUUUAAAUAAAAGAACAGUAGAAGCAAGAAGAGAAAUCUACACUAAGCCUAGCCUGCAAGGUUAAGUCUUGAGCCAUCAAGAACAAUAUACAUGUUACAUGUUCACUCAGCAUAUAUACUCAUGAGUUGCUAGAGCAUAAAACGGAACAUAUGGUAUUAUCAAUCAAGUGAUACUUCUAAUUGAUUAUAAGUUUCUCAACAAACUUCAACGUUUUUCUCUACUUCCCCUAUUUGUCUCAGCAUAUAUAUUCACCAAAUUGUAUUAUAAGUUUAUAACCCGGGCAAACUUAGUGGUACACUACUAUAGAAUAUUGCUGCUGUUUUUUCUAAAUAUAAAUUUCUAGUUCCAUUUUAUAUCAAUAGCACUAUAUAUAACUUCUCAGACACAUACACACAGAAAAACUGUAUAAAAAAGAAU